AACGCACGAGACCUGCGGACCUGCGGAAGGAUCAUUAACAAAUCCAUUGGCGCGCAUCCAAAUGUCUCCAUGCAUUGGGGAUGCAGCGACACAUGUACCGUGUGCACGUUUACUCUGUACACUGUUUACAUUUCUACGAAUUAUCUGAUUGUUUACAAAUUAUGCAUAAAUGUCAACUUUCAACAAUGGAUCUCU
rnacentral:misc_RNA from 1 species